ACUCUCCUCUCCCUGUUCUCUCUCUCUCUCCAGAUCCAGCCAGCCGGAGCGGGGUGGAAGCUCCUCCCGCCCCACAGGGACCCCUUGCUGCAGCUGUCGUGAGCCCCUGCCUUCGCUUGGAGCUCUCGCCGGGGAGGGGCUGCUGCUGCUGACUCUGCUCUGAGCUCUGCCUGAGGAUGGGGGAGAUGCACUCGGCCCCUGGAGGGGUCAGGAACCGAAGAUUUCAACCAUGCUUCGUGCCUUGCUGUGAACAUCACAUUGCAGCUGCCAUUGGGAGAUGCUGUUAGGGGUCACUACAGAGCAGCGGAUGGCCAAAGAGCCAGUCCCCUGCUCCCGACAGAGCCCCAGGAUGACCCCAAGAGCAGCGAUGUGGGGGAGAUGGAAGAGGAAGAGAUGGGAGAACAAGAGGACGAGGAGAUGGACGUGGAUUAGAACAUCGCUCUGAAUCUGAUCUGUAUAGUGCUGGAUGUGCAUAUGGACCAUAGGAUGUGCCCCUAUAGGAGGGGCACUGUUUACAGACCUAAACCUCUCAGGGAUUUUUUUAAAAUAUAUUUUAUUAUUACGUUCUCCUUUGCACUUACAAGCUUUGAGCAGAUUUGGGGAUUAAUGAAUGUUCCGUUUCCAGUGAUGUCACUGUGUCGACAGCUCUGGGAUUCGGACACGAUACGGGUACAGUAGGGUAAGGUGCAUCAAAUCUCUUCAAUCCAGACAGCGUGAUCCGAGAGCAGACGAACGACCGGCAGGCUUUGUGCUGACCUGGUGUGAGUCAGAGCAGCCUUGAGGCUGCUGUAACAUUCUGCUCCCCAUAGGCCCAGGAGCAGAGCACAUGCCGAGCCUUCACAACAGCCAGGGAGAUGCCUUGUGCAGCGGAAUUUUCAAGGGCUGUUUACACCCAUUUUAAAUCCCCUUUGCCUCCCAGAGUUACUUAAUGGGGCAGAAUGUGACUGACUUCAGAUUUUUCACAAAUUGGCUGUUUUCUGCGGAAAGUUCUUUUUGUUGUUUUUUUUACCACCACCCCCAAUGUCUGAAAAACAAAAUAUUUGCACUAAACCAAAAACAUUUCAAUCUGUAGAGCCUGCUGGGAUGCUGCAAGGGAGCUGUGGUCCAGGUGUCUCAUGUCCCCAUUCUGCUCUGGGGGGGACUCUCCUCAUUCUGGUUGGCUGGACUACAUCUCCCAUGAUGCACCAUAGUCAGAGACACCCACGAUACAGCUGGCUCCCCUCACCUUGAGGAGAGACUGUGGUGCACUGUAGGAGAUGCAGUCAGAUCAAGAAACCACCAAGCCUCCUGAGAAAAAUGCACCAUGUUAUAUGUUGUUUCAUGUCAUGAAAUAUUUCAGUUCAAUGUAAUCCUACCAGGGUACCAUGUGGCCUCAUGGCAGCAUUACAUUGAACUGAAAUAUUUUGGUUUUCAACUUUUUGCCUAAAAGUGUAACUUUCUGUAGAAAAUUUCAGUGAAAAUUAUUCCCCCCCACACAUUUUUAUCAGUUUGCCAUGGUGGGGGGACCCACUUUUUCCAACCAGCACUGCCCGUGCCAUCUGCUUACCCAGCUGAACCCUAGAGGGAGGGUGUUACAAUAGCUGGAAUGGGGGUGCAACAGUGGGCAUAUCUCUGUAAACACUCCUGACUGUGCAAAGCUGUUUGAAUGGUGGAUUCUUGUUCUUGAAACACUGGAGAUGAGAGCUGGUCGAAAUGUUUCAAUGGUUUUUUCAAUAAAAAGCCUUUUUUUCCAACAGUGAGAUUUUUCAUGCACAGUUGUCGACCUUUUAGUUUGUUUGCCAAAAAUAAAUAUUUUAAUACUUUUUGAUAAUUUCCAAAACGCAGAGCAAAAAUACUGGUUUGCUGAAAAAGUGGAUUUUGGCAAACAAAAUAAAUAACUGUUUUGGAUUAAACAUUCGAACAAAAAUG